rnacentral:rRNA from 1 species
CCCUUAGAUGUUCUGGGCCGCACGCGUGCUACACUGAGUAAAUCAAUGGGUAAGGGAACACGAAAGUGCAACCUAAUCUUUAAAUUUGCUCGUGAUGGGGAUCGACGGUUGCAAUUUUCCGUCGUGAACGAGGAAUACCUUGUAGGCGCGUGUCAUCAUCACGCGCCGAAUACGUCCCUGCCCUUUGUACACACCGCCCGUCGCUCCUACCGAUUGAGUGAUCCGGUGAGGCUCUGGGACCUGGACGGAAAGAGCGUUUCGCUUGUUCUGUUUGGGAAACUUGGUCGAACCUUAUCAUUUAGAGGAAGGAGAAGUCGUAACA